rnacentral:lncRNA from 1 species
AUUCCCCUACCCUCUUGGCCGCCCCCUCCCAUCUCCUCCUUUCUCAAGCACUUGCAGCCACACAUCAAACCCUAGCCCCCCCCAUCUCCUCCUCCCAUGGUGCCAUUCGUUGCCGCUCGGAUCUCCGUCGCGUGGUGCAAAUCUUCAACGGUUUUCGGUGGAGGGAGGAAGGGAGGAAGAAAAGGGGGAGAACUCAAGGUGAUUUUUGUGUUUAUCUCUUGUUCAUUUUAUGCGGCAAUCCAAUUGUUUAGAUGUUGCGUGUGCGAUUUGGUAGAAGGGCUGUCCAGAAUUUUAAGGGGGUGGACGAACAACAGCAGAAUUAGUGAUUUCUGGGCAUUUUUCGUGGAGAAUUAAGGAGAAUCAGUUUGGGAAUCAUGUAGAACUUUGGCAUACCUUUCCAACGAGUAUUUAUGCGCUCAAUUUGGAGUUAUAAAUUAAAAGUUAUCACCGUUUGAAACCGGGUAGGUGGCUGUCCAAAAAAACAGAUUUUCAAGGGGAUGAACAGCAGCAGUAUUAGCAGUUUCUGGGGAUUUUUCGGGAGUAAUUAGUGUUAAUCAGUAUGAGAAUCAUGUAGGGCUUUAUGUUAUCUUUCCAACAAGUACUUAUGCGCUCGAUUCGGAGUUAUAAUUUAGGAGAUAUCGUAGUUUGAAUCCGGUUAUGUUGCUGUCCAAAAAACAGAUUUUUCAGGUGGGUGAACAGCAGUGGUAUAAAGCAGUUUCUGGGACUUUUUCGUGGGUAAUUAGUGUUAACCAGUAUGAUAAUCAUGUAGAGAUUUGUCUUAUCUUUCCAAUGAGUACUUAUGCGCUUGAUUUGGAAUUAUAUUUUAAAAGAUAUCGCUGUUUGAAUCCGGGUAUGUCGCUGUCCAAAAGACAAAGAAAAACAGAUUACAGGGUUCAUCUUGUGGACUGUUUUGGGCUAAUUAGAUAUUGGAAUUUAAUUAUAAAUUGUAUACAAAACUUGUGGGGAAUUUUAUGUAGAUGCCUCUGGAGUUUUUGUUUGUUACCACUGCUGUCAUAAUUUUGAAGUUAUGAAAUUAUUAAGCAGCGCCGCUGCAAUUUGGUGGGUGUAGGGAGAGAUGUAACCCGCGGCGGGGUUUGAGUUUGUGCGUAGGUGCGGCGUCGCUUAUGAGCCUGAUUAUGUGAAAUUGGUGCACUAAGUUGGGUGUCAAAAACAGGUGGUGGACUUCCGGAUCGUACUUAGGGAUUUGCCCGAACUUCCGGUAAAGGCAAGUAAAUACAGUGGUGGUUGCUACCGUUUGGUUUGCAUCCUAUUCCCUGUCAUUGAGUAUGCAUAAGUUUUAAUUAUGUUGAUCAUUGAAUUCUAUGAUGAAGUUUAUUUGUUUGGAAGUAUUAAUUCUCAAUUGUCUAAUAUUGUGGAUGAUCAUAAUUUGGUAAUGAUAUAUGUGGUUGAUUCCCAUCUUGGAUGAAGUUGAAGUAUCUUUUUGAAUCAUGUUAUAUGAAGUGUUGUAGGCAUGACAUGCACAUCGCAUCAUCCAUCUUGCAUUUUGAAGUUAUGUCGUGAUCUUAUGGUCCGACCGUACCGGUACAUUUUUAGCAUCGUACGUUGCCCGAGGAGGGGUACGAUGCGGCUUCAUAUCCUUAGUGGUAUGAAGGCAGAAGUCAUCCUUGCAUUUGCAGACAUUUGCACUCAUGAGGAAUAUAUUAAGUGUGACAUUACUAUGUUACUAUUGGGGUUUCUACCUGCGAGGUGUGGUAACUAGGUGUGUUGUACGUUGUAUACGUGCUGCACCUUCGUAAUAAGAAGGUUGUGGAAUCAAGUGGUGGUAAAACAAUGUUCUUAUGUGGUUAAACUGUUUGAUAUUAUUUUACUUGCUGAGAUGUGUCAUCUCACUCUUGCAUUACUCAAUGCAGGUACUUGAUACAUGUUGGGAAUGAGGGGAGUAGCAGCAUGUCCACUUUUACUCUCACAAUAACGCUGCCUAGGCGCAGCCAUGAUUUAAUUAGAAACUUAUUGUCAAAGAAAGUUUGUUUUCUUUAUAUGGUCGUGAGCACUGGUUAAUUCAGUUCAGGUCGUAUGUUUAUCUUUCCUUGCUAGCUGAU